GAAAUACUGGGCGUAAAGCGCGCGCAGUUGGUCAAGUCAGUCAGGUGUUAUGCCCUGGGCUCACCUCGGAUCGCAUCUAACUGCUGGCUUGAGUGCAGAGAGAGAAAGUAGAAUUCCCCGGGGUAGCGGUGAAAUGGUUAGUGAUCGGAAGGAAUACCAUGGGGGAGGGCGCCCUUUUGGAUUGACACUGACAUUGAGCUGCGAAAGCGUGGGUAGCAACCAGGAUUAGUUACCUUGGUAGUCCACGCCUUAAACGAUAUCAAUUAGCGGUUGGGUCCUUUGUGGCCUUAGUGGCGCAGUUAACGCAAUAAGCAGUCCGCCUGGGGAGUACGGCCGCAAGAUUAAAACUCAAAUGAAUUGACGGGGGCCCGCACAAGCGGUGGAGCAUGUGGUUUAAUUCGAUGCAACGCGAAGAACCUUACCUACCCUUGACAUCCAGAGGACUUUCCAGAGAUGGAUUGGUUCCUUCGGGAAAUAUGAGACAGGUGGUGCAUGGUUGUCGUCAGCUCGUGUUGUGAAAUGUUGGGUUAAGUCCCGUAACGAGCGCAACCCUUAUCUUUAUUUGCCAGCGAGUAAUGUCGGCAAUUUUAAGGAGACUGCCGGUGACAAACCGGGGGAGGGGGGGGAGGAGGUCAAGUCAUCAUGGCCUUUACGGGUAGGGUUACACACGUGUUACAAUGGCAAGUACAAAGGGUUGCAAUACUGGGAAGUGGAGCCAAUCCCAUAAAGCUUGCCUCAGUCCGGAUUGGAGUCUGCAACUCGACUCCAUGAAGUCGGAAUCGCUAGUAAUCGUGGAUCAGAAUGCCACGGUGAAUACGUUCCCGGGCCUUGUACACACCGCCCGUCACACCAUGGGAGUGGAUAGCACCAGAAGUGGUUAGCGUAACCUUAAGGAGGCAGCUCACCAUCGU
rnacentral:rRNA from 1 species